rnacentral:rRNA from 1 species
GGUGGCGCACUUAAGACCUCGCGUUAUUCCAGCGGCCGAUAACUGAUUAGCUAGUUGGUGGGGUAAAGGCCUACCAAGGCGACGAUCAGUAGCGGGUCUGAGAGGACGAUCCGCCACUCUGGGACUGAGACACGGUCCAGACUCCUUCGGGAGGCAGCAGUGGGGAAUUUUGGACAAUGGGGGCAACCCUGAUCCAUCCUUGCCGCGUGUAUUAAGAAGGCCUUCGGGUUGUAAAGUACUUUUGUAAGGGAAAAAAAGGAAACUGUUACUAUCACUUUUUGCUGACGGCCCCUAAAAAAUAAUGACCGGCUAACUACUUGCUAGCAUACUCGGAAAUACUUAGGGUGCGACCGUUCCUCGAAUUUACUGGGCGAAAAGCGAGUUAAAAAUGUUCCAGUCCAGGAUGGGUAUUUCCUCCCCUCACUCUGGCAACUUGCAUCGGAAUUACAUAGCUCUAAGGUGGCAGAGGGGGGUAGAAUCCCCGUGUAGCAGUGAAAUGCGUACAGAUGUGAAGGAAUACCGAUGGCGAAGGCAGCCCCCUGGCAUAACACUGACGUUCAUGCUCAAAAGCGUGGGUAGCAAACUUGAUUAGAUAU